AUGAACGCUAGCGGUGCGCCUAACACAUGCAAGUCGAAUGUGCCCGCAAGGGUAACAUGGCGAACGGGUGAGUAACACGUUGGUAACCUGCCUCGAAGUGAGGGAUAACCCCGCGAAAGCGGGGCUAAUACCGCAUUGUAAUGGGGGGACGAAAGUCAUUCCCAUUUAAAGUCGCAAGACGCUUCGAGAGGGGCCUGCGGAGUAUCAGCUAGUUGGUAGGGUAACGGCCUACCAAGGCUAUGACGCUUAGUUGGUCUGAGAGGACGACCAACCACAAUGGAACUGAGACACGGUCCAUACUCCUACGGGAGGCAGCAGUGAGGAAUCUUCCGCAAUGGGCGAAAGCCUGACGGAGCGACACCGCGUGGAGGAUGAAGGCGUUUUCGUUGUAAACUCCUUUUCUGAGGGAAUAACUGAUGAAUUUACCUCAGGAAUAAGCACCGGCUAACUACGU
rnacentral:rRNA from 1 species